rnacentral:rRNA from 1 species
UACGUAGGGGGGCGAGCGUUGUCCGGAAUUAUUGGGCGUAAAGAGCGUGUAGGCGGCCCGGUAAGUCCGCUGUGAAAGUCGGGGGGCUCAACCCUCGAAUGCCGGUGGAUACUGUCGGGCUAGAGUGCGGAAGAGGCGAGUGGAAUUCCUGGUGUAGCGGUGAAAUGCGCAGAUAUCAGGAGGAACACCAAUUGCGAAGGCAGCUCGCUGGGACGUAACUGACGCUGAGACGCGAAAAGCGUGGGGGAGCAAAACAGG